CAAGUACUCCCUCUAUCCGGAAUUACUUGUCAUGAAAAUGGAUGUGUCUAGAACUAAAAUACAUCUAGAUACAUCAAUUUCAAUGACAAGUAUUUUCGGACGGAGGGAGUACAAG
rnacentral:pre_miRNA from 1 species